rnacentral:rRNA from 1 species
AUUGAACGCUGGCGGCAUGCCUAACACAUGCAAGUCGAACGGUAACGGACCGCUGGGAUUCCUUCGGGAUGACCUUGGUGCCGACGAGUGGCGGACGGGUGAGUAACACUUGGGAAUCUGCCCAGUAGUGGGGGACAACAUUCGGAAACGGAUGCUAAUACCGCAUACGCCCUAUGGGGGAAAGUGGGGGAUCUUCGGACCUCCCGCUAUUGGAUGAGCCCAAGUCGGAUUAGCUUGUUGGUGGGGUAAUGGCCCACCAAGGCUACGAUCGGUAGCUGGUCUGAGAGGACGAUCAGCCACACUGGGACUGAGACACGGCCCAGACUCCUACGGGAGGCAGCAGUGGGGAAUAUUGGACAAUGGGCGCAAGCCUGAUCCAGCAAUGCCGCGUGUGUGAAGAAGGCCUGCGGGUUGUAAAGCACUUUCAGUAGGGAAGAAAAGCCUGAGGUUAAUACCCUCGAGUCUUGACGUUACCUACAGAAGAAGCACCGGCUAAUUCCGUG